GGAUAUGAGGAUGAUCUGGCUGCUAUAUCUGUCACCCUAUUUUCUCCAAUGUUGAUCUGUCUGAUCUGAGUGACAAGGUGGGUGUGACUCCUUCCUCACCAUUCCACAUGUGUCCCUCCUAAAGAAUGUACUCUGUACAAGAGGACAACCUGACCAAAUAAAGUAGGACCUGAUUUCAGUCAAAGGUAUAGCAAGCAGUAGCUGCAUUCCCCUGCCAGAGCCUCCAAACAAGCUCUCAAGGAUUUAUCUGACCAAAGACCGAAACUCUCUCCAAAACUAAGUAUUGGAGUGCUGCGUU
rnacentral:snRNA from 1 species